GUCGCGAUGGCCGAGUGGUUAAGGCGAUGGACUCGAAAUCCAUUGGGGUCUCCCCGCGCAGGUUCAAAUCCUGCUCGCGACG
rfam:Hydatigera taeniaeformis genome assembly, scaffold: TTAC_scaffold0000670